CGAAUGUGACCUGCCUGAGUGCUGCCUCUCGGCGGCCCCUGAGCUAAGUAAAUCCACAGUAGCGAAUUAAGGAAUUAUAGAGUGCAGGGUGUCUCCUCACCCAGGGAAGUAAACUGAGGCCCCUAGUAGUCUCUGCUUCCAGUUCUUGCUCCACCCAGUGGUUUCCUGAGGAAUGAGCCGCCUUUUAGGCUGAUUUCCUUUUUGGCUCCAGGCAAGCUUUGAACUGUGAGGCUCAGUUUUUCUAAUUUGCAAAUGGGAGGAUUGAGGCCAAGUUUGGUGGCUCCCUGGGGCUCUAAUGUGUGGGGUAAUUAGGGUUUGAAAGUGACUUUGAAGCUUCCAAGAGUGAAAUACCCACCAAAGUUCAGAAUGGGACUGUUCCUUAACGUGUCACCAAGUUGUAUAUCCACCCGCCCCAUCUCCAGGCCUUCCCCAGAUAGCAAUGCUGUGGGAUUCCAGGGAACCCCCAGUACCUCCCUGUCUUCCCCACCAGCCUGUCCUUUCCUUCCCUCCCUUCUGUUCCCCUUCUGUCCUUGCCCAGAGACUCAGUGGGUCCAGUCACAGGGAGUCACAGUGUCGGCUCUAGGAAUGCAUCCUUGCGGGACUUGCAGCCCAGCAAGGAAAACGGAGAGUCAGAAAUGACGUAUGCAGUGCACGUUACAAGAUGGAAAUUGCAGGGGGUCUAAGGAGCCAAUAAUCCACUCUGGGUUUCAGGAACCCCACCCCUGAUCCCAAAACUCAGUGGUUACUCCCUUGGUCUCAUCUCCUUCGAGGAAAGCCUGGCCAAUGAAUACCUCUUCUGUGAUCUCCAAACACCCUUUCUGCAUCUUUUCUUCGAACCAAGACACCAGCAUCUCACCUGCUAAUCUGACUUUCAGCAUCUCUUCCUGAGGUUAUUCACAGACUUAAGCUACAAGCAUCUGAGCACCAUUGUGGACCCCGGCCUCACCUGGGGAUGUGGCAAGAGCCCCAAGGAGAAGGCAAUGAUGCUUCGAGGGAUAUGGGACCCUGGGCGCUGGGAUUUUUGGCCUCUCCAAGACGUUUCAAGUCCUAUGGAAGUAUCAGAGAACCCCCCAUAACAAGAAACCACUGAGACCUUGGACAAGGAUAUCGACAGCAACCACAGGAGACUGGGGGUCGGAGACCCCUCCCCCCAUUUUCUGGCAUCAGUAGGCCUCCCUAGUUCUGAUGGGUCUCUGAGGUUGGGGUGUGGUAAAGUGGGUGAUGGGGGGGUACCUAACACUGAUGGAUGGCAUUUCCUACCAGUUCAGUGAAAUGUGCAGGUUGGGGUGGAAUAAGGUGGGGAGUAGAGGAAAAUUGGAGUUGAAAUUAGUCUGUGCAAACUGUAAAAUGGGGAUAAUAAUAUUACCUCUCUCAUAGAGUUAUUAUGAGGAUUAAGUGAGAUAAAAAUACAAGUAAAUAAUUUAGAGUGUGACACAUAGUAAGUGUCCAACAGAUGUUAGCUCCUAUUAUUAUUAUUUAGCUUUUCCCUGUCUGCUGACCAGAGGUUAGCUGUUCCUGUUUUGUGUAAGUGACAUGCUGUGAAGUGGCUUUGCAUGUGAGUCUUCUGCUCCUCAUUUCACAUGUGUGAAAUGGGCUGACAGAAGAGACCAACAUGAACGGCCUCACCUUCACGGCCCCCAGCAGAUGCAUCCCAGAGUUACCAGGGAGUCAUGUGAUGAAAGAUUGAAGGAUGGAGCAUACGGGAGGGCUACUUGUGAACCGUUCUCACAGAGCCAGGCUCUGUGCCGUCUGCUCUGCCCAGUGGUUCCCAGCCCCUGCCCCUCCAUGGCCUAAUGGUCACUCGCUUUAAGUUUGGGGAAACUUAAAGCUGGGGUCCUUUAUCGGCAGGUUCUGGGGCAAUGGGUGGGGAGAGGCUGUGGAUCUCUGAAGUUCACAGACAGUCCCCACCCUCACACUCCUUUAUUUUCAAGUUGUGCUUAUGUGUUAAUUACAAAAGUAAACCAAACUCACCAUAAAAACAGCCAACACCACAGUGCGUAAAGAUAAAGGCAAAAAUUCUUCUCCAGCUGCUCCCCUGCCCCAGUCCACUUCCCAGACGUCAACCCUGUGACUAGACUAGUGGAGGCCACAGGUCCUGGGGCCCCUCUCACCCCGCUUCUGUCUAGGCCUUUAAUCCUGAGUCCUAAUGUGUGAGAGCCUCCGUUCUUUACACCUGCACACCCUCUAGUGUGGGUGCUUUGCAUAGGCGAGGUGAGGACACAGAGAUAGAGGCAGGUGGCAGGCAUGGCCCCUGUAAGUCAGGAUCUAAAUUCUUGGUCUCAACUAGGUCCACCAGACCUUGACUAGUGAGGCUGGCUUUUCUAACCCCAGUGCUGAGAGGAUAUUUGGAACAAAGCUACCUGCUAAAAAAAAAAAAAGAAAGAAAAGAAAAAAGA